CUUGACGACCAUAGAGCAUUGGAACCACCUGAUCCCAUCCCGAACUCAGCAGUGAAACGAUGCAUCGCCGAUGGUAGUGUGGGGCUUCCCCAUGUGAGAGUAGGUCAUCGUCAAGA
rfam:Pseudomonas agarici strain NCPPB 2472 genome.